ACCUCGGUGGCUCCAAGGCGAGAGCGUCGGCCUACGGAUCCCAAUGUGGCGGGUUCGAAUCCCGGCCGAGGUG
rnacentral:tRNA from 1 species